rnacentral:sRNA from 1 species
GCUGGGCGCGGGGGCGCACGCCUGUAAUCCCAGAAGCACGGGAGGCUGAGGUAGGAGGAUCUAGAGUUCAAAGCCUCAAGUAACUUUGCGAGGCUCUAACAACUUAGCGAAAACCUGUCUCUA